rnacentral:lncRNA from 1 species
UCUUAUUGGUUGAGUUUGAUUGCAUACUUCCAUUCAUAUAUUUUUUAUCAAUAUUGUUAUUUAACUGUUUACAAAGUUCUUUAUUUAAAUUUUAAAAAUAUAUAAUUAGUUGAUUUUACUUUUUAUUUGUCAAAAAAGUUUAUUUAAACCCUAUUCACCCCCCUCUAGGGUUGUCAUACCGAUCCAACACUUUCUCUUUGCGUGAAUUGUGUUUCCGUUGUGGGUUUUUGCCGUAUAUGUGGGGUUUUGUCAAAUCUGUGUUUUAGCCGUGAGUUUUUG